rnacentral:sRNA from 1 species
AUCGGUUUGACGUACAGACCUUUAAAGCAACCUAGUAAAGCAGUCCUUCAAGAGUCAUCCCUGGAUACCCUUUGUCGUGUGCUCCUCUACCGCUUCAUAAAAUCUGUAAAGCAUACCAAAUCGCCGUAAGGCACACUCAAUUCAAAAGGUAAUACACAUGUCUAACAAAAUGACUGGUCUGGUAAAAUGGUUCAACGCUGAUAAAGGUUUCGGCUUCAUCACUCCAGACGACGGUUCUAAAGACCUGUUCGUUCACUUCUCUGCAAUCCAGAACGACGGUUACAAAUCUCUUGAUGAAGGCCAGAAAGUUUCCUUCACCAUCGAGAACGGCGCUAAAGGCCCAGCAGCUGGUAACGUAACUAGCCUGUAAGGUUAGCGUUAACUAAGCUCUAAAGAAUUUAAAAACCCGCUUCGGCGGGUUUUUUCGU